GCCGAUGUGGUGGAAUUGGUAGACACGCCAUCUUGAGGGGGUGGUGGGGAAACCCGUGUCGGUUCGAGUCCGACCAUCGGCACCA
rnacentral:tRNA from 1 species